GAUGAACGCUGGCGGCGUGCCUAAUACAUGCAAGUCGAGCGAACAGAUGAGGAGCUUGCUCCUCUGACGUUAGCGGCGGACGGGUGAGUAACACGUGGAUAACCUACCUAUAAUACUGGGAUAACUUCGGGAAACCGGAGCUAAUACCGGAUAAUAUAUUGAACCGCAUGGUUCAAUAGUGAAAGACGGUUUUGCUGUCACUUAUAGAUGGAUCCGCGCCGAAUUAGCUAGUUGGUAAGGGAACGGCUUACCAAGGCAACGAUGCGUAGCCGACCUGAGAGGGUGAUCGGCCACACUGGAACUGAGACACGGCCCAGCCCCCUACGGGAGGCAGAAGUAGGAAAUCUUCCGAAAGGGGCGAAAGCCUGACGGAGCAACGCCGCGUGAGUGAUGAAGGUCUUCGGAUCGUAAAACUCUGUUAUUAGGGAAGAACAAAUGUGUAAGUAACUAUGCACGUCUGGACGGUACCUAAUAAGAAAGCCACGGCUAACUACGU
rnacentral:rRNA from 1 species